CCCUUAGAUGUUCGGGGCCGCACGCGCGCUACACUGAAGGAAUCAGCACGUCUUUCUCCUUGUCCGAAAGGACUGGGUAACCCGCUGAACCUCCUUCGUGCUAGGGAUUGGGGCUUGUAAUUCUUCCCCAUGAACGAGGAAUUCCCAGUAAGCGCGAGUCAUAAGCUCGCGUUGAUUACGUCCCUGCCCUUUGUACACACCGCCCGGCGCUACUACCGAUUGGAUGGUUUAGUGAGAUCCUCGGAUUGGUCCCGGAGCGGCCUCUGGUCGUGCCGGAGUGCCGAAAAGAAUGUCGAACUUGAUCAUCUAGAGGAAGUAAAAGUCGUAACA
rnacentral:rRNA from 1 species